GACGCUUGCCAAGUUGCGCAGGAAUCGGGCGGUUAGAAGUGUACCUUUAAUUCACAUAUUUAGAGUAAAAUGGGGUGAAAUUUGAUUGCGAGAUAUCGGCGAUUGAAGUUGUGUAAACAUUAGAGGCAGCGUGGCAGUAAUGACAGACGAAGAGCAAAUAGAGCCACGUAUGGCAACCAAUCACAUUGCACGCUCUACACGCAGCGGGAAAACUCUUAGGCGCUCAAAUGUCAUAGCGCUAGUCGUGCAUGUGAAGGAAGAUGCCUAGACAAGCGAGCUUGCACCGAAGAAAAGAAGAGGGCGGAAAACUUAAAAAGACCGCGAACGGAGACAACUCUAUGUUUUGGGCUUUCUUCCUCGCUUGGCCUUCUUCGAAGGAAGCCAAGGAUUCUUCCUUAAUCUUGGCGUAGUUUACAACUUUGCAAAAUUUAGUAUAGAUAUUGUCUUGCCACACCGUGCCGCGGAUAAUCAAUAGCUCUUUUUGCUACGGACUUAAUUAGCGCGUUGUAGCCAAAGUAGCAAAAUUAAUCCACGCCUAACUCUGACCCUUGACUAUUAAUCAAUGAGGCUGUGUGACGUCAAAUGUAGACACGGUUCGUCAGUUCAGUACAUGACGAAAGAUAUAAAGCAGACCCCGGGAGGUUACGCGUUUUUGGUGUGUAUAAAUAAUUCGUAUGUUUAAAAGUAGUCGAUUUCGCACUUCGGACCAGGCAAAGCACUCAAAAUCUAAAUUAUUAUUUUAGGAGGAAAGUACAAUCAUUAAGCUUUAAAUUGAUAUAUAGUUGGUUGGCAUUUGCUUUAAUCCGACGCGAGCGCGAGCGAUUUUGCCGGGACGAUCAGAGUAAUUACCGCUUGGGUCUACGGUAUCCUGAAGAAUUUUGUAUGAUUUUGUCUGUACUGGCUGCUUGGAAAAGCCAAUGGAUGAAACACCUAAAACUCAGAACUACACCUACCUCCUGCAAGUAAGCCAGGACAAAUCGCUGUGCACAUACUUGAGCCAGACAACUCUCCGGGUACUGCGACGUUCCCAUAGCAACAGAGUGCCCAUCAACAAAGAGCUCACCUUGCUUCAAAUCACAAUCCCAAACAAACGCAAUGUGGCACCACUUUCCCGUUGGGAUUUUGCUAAAAGUAAGAAGUAAAUAAUAUAGUCGGAAGUUCAGAUCAUUUCUGGGGGAUGUUUGUACGUUAAAGCAUGCAAAAUGUUUUUUUUGACUGGGAUGGGUGAGGAACGCGAUGCCUCCC